AACGAACGCUGGCGGCAUGCCUAACACAUGCAAGUCGAACGAGACCUUCGGGUCUAGUGGCGCACGGGUGCGUAACGCGUGGGAACCUGCCCUUAGGUUCGGAAUAACUCCCCGAAAGGGGUGCUAAUACCGGAUAAUGUCUUCGGACCAAAGAUUUAUCGCCUUUGGAUGGGCCCGCGUUGGAUUAGCUAGUUGGUAGGGUAAAAGCCUACCAAGGCGACGAUCCAUAGCUGGUCUGAGAGGAUGAUCAGCCACACUGGGACUGAGACGCGGCCCAGACUCCUACGGGAGGCAGCAGUGGGGAAUAUUGGACAAUGGGCGAAAUCCUGAACCAGCAAUGCCGCGUGAGUGAUGAAGGCCUUAGGGUUGUAAAGCUCUUUUACCCGCGAUGAUAAUGACAGUACCGGGAGAAUAAGCACCGGCUAACUCCGUG
rnacentral:rRNA from 1 species